AUUCCAAUCGAACUCGGAGAUAGCUGGUUCUCCUCGAAAUAGCUUUAGGGCUAGCCUUGAGGUAAAACAUGUGGGGGUAGAGCACUGAAUGAUUUAGGGGCCAAACCAGGUUACCGACAUCUAUCAAACUGCGAAUACCAUGUGGAAGUACUCAGGAGUCAGACUGCGGGAGCUAAGUUCCGUGGUCAAAAGGGAAAGAGCCCAGACCGACAAUUAAGGUCCCAAAGAGAUAGUUAAGUGGAAAACGAUGUGAAAAUGCAAAGACAACCAGGAUGUUGGCUUAGAAGCAGCCAUACAUUAAAAGAGUGCGUAACAGCUCACUGGUCGAGUGAAUUUGCGCGGAAAAUUACCGGGGCUAAACUAUCCACCGAAAUUACGGAUUGCAGUACAUUUAACAAUGUAUGCGGAAAGAAGAAAGAAGUAUAUAUUGUUAAGUGUACUGUAGUGGUAGAGGAGCAUUCUGUAGUAGGAAGAAGCUAAAGCGAGAGCAUUAGUGGACGAGACAGAAGAGAGAAUGCUGGAAUAAGUAGCGAGAGCAAGGUGAGAAUCCUUGCCGUCGAAAGUCUAAGGUUUCCUGGGGAAGGUUCGUCCGCCCAGGGUAAGUCGGGACCUAAGGAGAGGCCGAGAAGGCGUAUCUGAUGGACAGCAGGUUGAAAUUCCUGCACUACCGAUACUUUAAAAAACGUCAAGGGACGCAGGAGAGGAAGGAAAGCGAGGAAGAGGAAAGACUCGUAUCGAAAGAUAUAGUGAAAAAAUGAAGUAACGAAAUUCCAAGAAUCACACUGACGAGAAAAGCUUGAUGACAUUAAGUAAAGGUACCCGUACCGCAAACCGACACAGGUAGAUGAGGAGAGGAUCCUAAGACGAACGGGAGAAGCAUUGUUAAGGAACUCGGCAAAAUGACCCCGUAACUUCGGGAGAAGGGGUGCCACAGAGAUGUGGCCGCAGAGAAUAGGCUCAAGCAACUGUUUAGCAAAAACACAGGUCUAUGCGAAACCGAAAGGUGAGGUAUAUGGGCUGACGCCUGCCCGGUGCUGGAAGGUUAAGAGGAGAGGUUAGCGCAAGCGAAGCUUUGAAUUUAAGCCCCAGUAAACGGCGGCCGUAACUAUAACGGUCCUAAGGUAGCGAAAUUCCUUGUCAGGUAAGUUCUGACCCGCACGAAAGGCGUAAUGAUUUGGGCGCUGUCUCGACAAUGUACCCGGCGAAAUUGUAGUACUAGUGAAGAUGCUAGUUACCUGCGACAAGACAGAAAGACCCCAUGGAGCUUUACUGUAGUUUGAUAUUGGGUUUUGGUAAUUUAUGUACAGGAUAGGUGGGAGACAGAGAAGGAUGUGCGUCAGCAUAUCUGGAGUCAACGUUGGGAUACCACUCUUAAGUUAUUGAAAUUCUAACUUGUGAUCAUAAACUGGUCAGAGGACAAUGUCAGACGGGCAGUUUGACUGGGGCGGUCGCCUCCAAAAGAGUAACGGAGGCGCCCAAAGGUUCCCUCAGUGCGGACAGAAAUCGCACAAAAGAGUGUAAAGGCAGAAGGGAGCUUAACUGGAAGAUAGACAUAUCGAGCAGAUACGAAAGUAGGGCUUAGUGAUCCGGUGGAAUUGAAUGGAAAAGCCAUCGCUCAACGGACAAAAGUUACCCUGGGGAUAACAGGCUUAUCUCCCCCAAGAGUUCACAUCGACGGGGAGGUU
rnacentral:rRNA from 1 species